rnacentral:rRNA from 1 species
GAUAAACGUUGGCGGCGUGCCUAAUACAUGCAAGUCGAGCGAAGCGGGGACGGGUGAGUAACACGUGGAUAACCUCCUAUAAGACUGGGAUAACUUCGUGAAACCGGAGCUAAACCGGCUACUUAUAGUUGGAUCCGCGCUGCAUUAGCUAGUGGGUAAGGUAACGGCUUACCAAGGCAACGGUGAAUACCCGAGCUGAGAGGGUGCUCGGCCAGUCUGGCACUGAAACUGUGUGCAGCCUCCUACGGGAGGCAGCAGUGGAAAAUCUUCCGCAAUGGGCACAAACCUGACAGAGCGACGCAACGUGAGUGAUGAAGGUCUGCGAUGCGUAGAACACUGUUAUUAAGCAAGCGGUACCUAAUCAGAAAGCCACAGCUAACUACGUGCCAGCAGCCACGGUAAUAC